UCUGUAGUAGGAAUUUGUUCUGUGGAACCCCGCAGCAGUAUUUCCCUUCAUCUCUAUGGAGACAGCUCCUCUCGACUUUUGAAGGAACUUGCCUGUAUUGUAAACAAACCUCUCUUGGCAAUUGGCCUGUUUUCUUUUCCUAUCUCAUCUUCCAUCUGCUCAAAGGCUUCGCUUCAAAAAGAAGUAGGUUGCAGGAUGAAAACCCCAAGCCAGUAAAAAUGAACACAAACAAAGGACUGUAUAUGAGUUGAACAGCUAUCAACUGGUAUGUGGGUGUUGGAAAUCACACCCCAGUCUUCAAGAACCAAAGCUUAACCACUGACCUACCUCACAGCCACCCACAGUGAAUAUCAUGGUAACUGCAACAUACUGCAGAGGAAAUUCUUCAGCUCAUGUCAAACAGGUGCUGCCUGCAGGGACCUGCUUUCUCCAGUUAGGCCUCACCAGCUUGAUCCUCGUACCUGGUGCGGUUGCUGGCUGAAUGGACAUCAGUCCCCAAGGACCCACCAAUCGGCAGGAACGAUCCAGCAAAUCCACGCUAAGGAGAGAUGUCUAAGGUUCUGGCGGAAGACCAAAGAAACGUGCUGCCCUUUUAUUAUAUGGGCCCACUAAGAUGAAGACACCUUGGAGUUUUGGGAAGAGAAGCCAGUGGGUCAGCCAAGAGUAUACCUGUCUUUCCACCCUAACAGGUUUCCAUGUUUCAAAUAUGUGUGGAACUUCUGCUGUAACAAGCGCCACCACGCAGGUGUUUUUAAAGGAUCAAAAUGGAAUCGUUUUGAGAAUUCCAUGGUAGAAUGGAGCAAGAGACCUAUUCUGAAUGUACUAUUCCAGCGUCAGGAGUCAGCUGUCUGGAUUUCCAGUCUCACAAUAAACGAAGGACAGCUGGAAUCUUCACAAAAUAUCACAUAUAUUCUGCAGAGUGCUGAACCCUGAUGAACUUGGUGAAGAUCCACUUCCACUGGCCUGGCAAUCAUUUCUCUCUUUCCAGGUCCUUUUCUGCCAGUACCUACAAUUUCGAGUUCCAGACCUCACAUGAACUCUCUACCUAGAAGACAGGCUAUACUAGUAAAAAAUAGUAUCCUGGUCCUUUUCCUCUUUUCUUACAAGAUGGCUUCCAGUAAGAAGGAAACAUAAGCUGCAGGCCACAGCCACUGAGCAAAGGGUAGCUAACACGAAGCUUCUCCCUCAUCCGACCAUUGGUGGCUGACUCCUGUGUUCGCCAUCUAAAAAUGAGAGGAAAAUUCAACUUCUGAAACACUUCUCCUAACUACUCAUUCUUCCUACUAUAUUAUAUUCAACACACUGUUAUUUUUAUAAAAAAAUAAAUAAUUAAAAAUAAAUACCCCCCCCCAAAGACA